rnacentral:rRNA from 1 species
AGUCAUAUGCUCGUCUCAAAGAUUAAGCCAUGCAUGUCUUAGUACAUACUAAAAUUAAAGUGAAACCGCGAAAGGCUCAUUAAAUCAGUUAUGGUUCCUUAGAUCGUACCCACAUUUACUUGGAUAACUGUGGUAAUUCUAGAGCUAAUACAUGCAAACAGAGCUCUAACCUUAAAAGGAAAGAGUGCUUUUAUUAGAUCAAAACCAAUCGGCUGCAAUAUAAUUUCGGUUAUAUUGUUUGUCGAAAUAUUUGGUGAAUCUGAAUAACAUUAUGCUGAUCGCACAGUCUUGCACUGGCGACGCAUCUUUCAAAUGUCUGCCUUAUCAACUGUCGAUGGUAGGAUCUGCGCCUACCAUGGUUGUAACGGGUAACGGGGAAUCAGGGUUCGAUUCCGGAGAGGGAGCCUGAGAAACGGCUACCACAUCCAAGGAAGGCAGCAGGCGCGCAAAUUACCCAUUCCCAGAACGGGGAGGUAGUGACGAAAAAUAACGAUACGGGACUCAUCCGAGGCCCCGUAAUCGGAAUGAGUACACUUUAAAUCCUUUAACAAGGACCAAUUGGAGGGCAAGUCUAGUGCCAGCAGCCGCGGUAAUUCUAGCUCCAAUAGCGUAUAUUAAAGUUGUUGCGGUUAAAAAGCUCGUAGUUGAACUUGUGUCUCGCGCUGUCGGUACACCGCCCGCGGUGAUAACUGGCACGUUCGUGAGACGUCCUGCCGGUGGAUGUUUGUGGCGCAUGUAUACUCCUCAUAUAUUAUACUUUUAGUAUAUAUGUGUGUGAGGUUCAUCGUUACACCAUCCUCGUAAUUUGUCCUGUCGCGGUGCUCUUAAUUGAGUGUCGAGGCGGGCCGGCUCUAUUACUUUGAACAAAUUAGAGUGCUCAAAGCAGGCUAAAAUUUUGCCUGAAUAAAUUUUGCAUGGAAUAAUAAAACAGGACCUCGGUUCUAUUUUGUUGGUAUUAGGAACCCCGAGGUAAUGAUUAAUAGGGACAGAUGGGGGCAUUCGUAUUGCGACGUUAGAGGUGAAAUUCUUGGAUCGUCGCAAGACGAACUGAAGCGAAAGCAUUUGCCAAAGAUGUUUUCAUUAAUCAAGAACGAAAGUCAGAGGUGCGAAGGCGAUCAGAUACCGCCCUAGUUCUGACCAUAAACUAUGCCAUCUAGCGAUCCGCCGAUGUUCCUCCGAUGACUCGGCGGGCAGUUUCCGGGAAACCAAAGUUUUUGGGUUCCGGGGGAAGUAUGGUUGCAAAGCUGAAACUUAAAGGAAUUGACGGAAGGGCACUACCAGGAGUGGAGCCUGCGGCUUAAUUUGACUCAACACGGGAAAAUUCACUAGGUCCAGACAGCGUAAGGAUUGACAGAUUGAGAGCUCUUUCUUGAUUCGGUGGGUGGUGGUGCAUGGCCGCUUGUAGUCGGUGAAUUGAUUUGUCUGCUUAAUUGCGAUAACGGACGAGACUCUAGCCUACUAAAUAGGCGUUACUUACCGGUAUCCUAAAGGCUCGUGGCUUUCGUUUUCUGGCGUAUAUUAGUUGUUUAGGGUUUAUAUUACUUCGGUGGUAUGGCCCUAGCACUAUGUGCGUUUAGAGCGUUUGUUCACAGUUUUUACUACCGGCGUAUAUAUAAAUCUUCUUAGAGGAAUGGGCGGCUUUUAGCCGCAAGAGAUUGAGCAAAAGCAGGUCAGAGAUGCCCUUAGAUGUUCUGGGCCGCACGCGCGCUACACUGAAGGAAUCAACGUGUUUUCCCUGACUGAAAAGUCCGGGUAACCCAUUGAAACUCCUUCGUGCUAGGGAUUGGGGAUUGCAAUUAUUCCCCAUGAACGAGGAAUUCCCAGUAAGCACGAGUCAUAAGCUUGUGUUGAUUACGUCCCUGCCCUUUGUUCACACCGCCCGUCGCUAUUACUGAUUGAAUGAUUUAGUGAGGUCUUUGGACGGUCACUCAGAAAUAUUUUCAAUAUUACUGAUUUUGACCGGAAGAUGACCAAACUUGAUUAUUU